rnacentral:rRNA from 1 species
CCUACGGGAGGCAGCAGUGGGGGAUAUUGCACAAUGGGGGGAACCCUGAUGCAGCGACGCCGCGUGGGUGAAGAAGCGCCUCGGCGCGUAAAGCCCUGUCAGCAGGGAAGAAAAUGACGGUACCUGAAGAAGAAGCCCCGGCUAACUACGUGCCAGCAGCCGCGGUAAUACGGAGGGGGCGAGCGUUAUCCGGAUGUACUGGGUGGAAAGGGGGCGCAGGCGGCGAUGCAAGGCAGGAGUGAAAGCCCGGGGCCCAACCCCGGGACUGCUCGUGGAACUGCGUGGCUGGAGUGCAGGAGGGGCAAGGGGAAUUCCUGGUGUAGCGGUGAAAUGCGUAGAUAUCAGGAGGAACACCGGUGGCGAAGGCGGCCUGCUGGACUGCAACUGACGUUGAGGCCCGAAAGCGUGGGGAGCAAACAGGAUUAGAUACCCGUGUAGUC